UGGGGAAUAUUGCACAAUGGGGGAAACCCUGAUGCAGCGACGCCGCGUGAACGAAGAAGGUAUUCGUAUCGUAAAGUUCUGUCCUAUGGGAAGAUAAUGACAGUACCAUAGAAGAAAGCUCCGGCUAAAUACGUGCCAGCAGCCGCGGUAAUACGUAUGGAGCGAGCGUUGUCCGGAAUUAUUGGGCGUAAAGGGUACGCAGGCGGUUUAAUAAGUCGAAUGUUAAAGAUCGGGGCUCAACCCCGCAAAGCAUUGGAAACUGAUAAACUUGAGUAGUGGAGAGGAGAGUGGAAUUCCUAGUGUAGUGGUGAAAUACGUAGAUAUUAGGAGGAAUACCAGUAGCGAAGGCGACUUUCUGGACACAAACUGACGCUGAGGUACGAAAGCGUGGGGAGCAAACAGG
rnacentral:rRNA from 1 species